rnacentral:rRNA from 1 species
UACGUAGGGUGCGAGCGUUGUCCGGAAUUAUUGGGCGUAAAGGGCUCGUAGGCGGUCUGUCACGUCAGGAGUGAAAACUCGGGGCUCAACCCCGAGCCUGCUUCUGAUACGGGCAGACUGGAGGUAUGCAGGGGAGAACGGAAUUCCUGGUGUAGCGGUGAAAUGCGCAGAUAUCAGGAGGAACACCAAUGGCGAAGGCAGCUCGCUGGGACGUGACUGACGCUGAGACGCGAAAGCGUGGGGAGCAAACAGG